rnacentral:rRNA from 1 species
GGAAUCUUCCACAAUGGACGCAAGUCUGAUGGAGCAACGCCGCGUGAGUGAAGAAGGUUUUCGGACCGUAAAGCUCUGUUGUUGGUGAAGAAGGAUAGAGGUAGUAACUGGCCUUUAUUUGACGGUAAUCAACCAGAAAGUCACGGCUAACUACGUGCCAGCAGCCGCGGUAAUACGUAGGUGGCAAGCGUUGUCCGGAUUUAUUGGGCGUAAAGCGAGCGCAGGCGGAAGAAUAAGUCUGAUGUGAAAGCCCUCGGCUUAACCGAGGAAUUGCAUCGGAAACUGUUUUUCUUGAGUGCAGAAAGAGGAGAGUAGAACUCCAUGUGUAGCGGUGGAAUGCGUAGAUAUAUGGAAGAAUACCAGUGGCGAAGGCGGCUCUCUGGUCUGCAACUGACGCUGAGGCUCGAAAAGCAUGGGUAGCGAACAGGAUUAGAUACCCUGGUAGUCCAUGCCGUAAAACGAUGAGUGCUAAGUGUUGGGAGGCUUCCGCCUCUCAGUGCUGCAGCUAAACGCA